rnacentral:rRNA from 1 species
CACGUAGGGGGCAAGCGUUGUCCGGAUUCAUUGGGCGUAAAGAGCUCGUAGGCGGUUCGAUAAGUCGGGUGUGAGACCUCCAGGCUCAACCUGGAGACGCCACCCGAUACUGUCGUGACUAGAGUCCAGUAGGGGAGCGUGGAAUUCCUGGUGUAGCGGUGAAAUGCGCAGAUAUCAGGAGGAACACCAGCGGCGAAGGCGGCGCUCUGGGCUGGAACUGACGCUGAGGAGCGAAAGCGUGGGGAGCGAACAGG